UACAUCCUCAUGGUUGGUGACCUUGGAUAAAUUUCAUUUUUGUGCUUCUGUUUCAUUUUCUUUAAAAUGAGUAGUUGAAAGCUUCAAAGACUCAAAGAUUUCAUGAACUUAAAAGAAGACUGAUUGAAAGAAAUGCGUGGCCAUUAUUACCUCGCUGCUCAGUUUAUUCAUGGACACAUACUUGUUACAUACAUCUGAAGUUUCCUUAAGGAAAUGAACUCUGUGGAUGUGAUACUUGGCCAUUGAGAGAAGUGGAAUAAAUAAGAAAAAGAAGGGGGAACAAGUUAGUGACAAAGGAGCCGUGGGCACCACUUUCAGAUAAAAACAUAGACCUGAAUGGCAUCAUCCAGUAUCCAAGGAAACCAUGUCUAGGUCUCUGCUAGUUCUUCUUGGAUCUUUGGAUGCUGUCUCUUCACUUUCCACUGUAGUGUCUUACAGAAUAUGAUCAGAUCUGAAAUGACCACUCCUCGGCUGAUUUCUAGGUAUCCAGGCACUGUGGUGUAUCCUGAGCAGGACCGAGACAAGGGUGUUUUUCUUAAGAGCCACUGAUUUAGUCAAUUAUCAAAAAUCACAUUAUAAUAAAUGCUGUUCUAAGAAUUUUGAUUAACCUUUA
rnacentral:lncRNA from 1 species